rnacentral:rRNA from 1 species
UACGUAGGCAGCAAGCGUUGUUCGGAGUUACUGGGCGUAAAGGGUGCGUAGGCGGUCCUAUAAGUAUGGUGUGAAAUCUCCCGGCUUAACUGGGAGGGUGCGCUAUAGACUGUGGGACUAGAGUGUGGGAGAGGAAAGUGGAAUUCCUGGUGUAGCGGUGAAAUGCGUAGAUAUCAGGAGGAACACCGGUGGUGUAGACGGCUUUCUGGACCGUAACUGACGCUGAGACACGAAAGCGUGGGUAGCAAACAGG